AUAUCCCUGAGGUGUUCGUGAUUUACGAUUUUUAUUUUACCAACACUUAAUAUACGGGAAUCCCUUCUUCGGUUGCGGCGCAAAUGCCACCCAUUAUGGCCAGUGGACUUGUAAUUCAACCGAGCGGAUACCCACCUGCUUAUGCAGGUAAAAAUUAAUCGUACCAACACGGCAUUUCGGGGUAUA
rnacentral:other from 1 species